rnacentral:rRNA from 1 species
GUAUGUGCAUGGGUAGGGGAGCGUUGUAUGUACGUUGAAUUCUGACCGUAAGGACAGGUGGAGCGCAUACAAGUGAGAAUGCCGGUAUAAGUAACGAAAAGAUCAGUGAGAAUCUGAUCCGCCGAAAACCUAAGGGUUCCUGAGGAAGGCUCGUCCGCUCAGGGUAAGUCGGGACCUAAGGCGAGGCCGAAAGGCGUAGUCGAUGGACAACAGGUGGAAAUUCCUGUACCACCGUAGCCGUUAUGAGCAAUGGAGUGACGCAGAAGGAUAGUGACGCGAGCUGAUGGAUGCUCGUCCAAGCAGUGAGGCUGAUGUGUAGGCAAAUCCGCACAUCGUAAGGCUGGGCUGUGAUGGGGAGGGAAACUUUAAGUACCGAAGGUCAUGAGUUCACACUGCCAAGAAAAGCUUCUAGCCAGGCGAAGGUGCCCGUACCGCAAACCGACACAGGUGGGUGAGAAGAGAAUUCUAAGGCGCGCGGAAGAACUCUCGUUAAGGAACUCGGCAAAAUGACCCCGUAACUUCGGGAGAAGGGGUGCCUCGGUAGGGUGAAUAGCCCGAGGGGGCCGCAGUGAAAAGGCCCAAGCGACUGUUUAGCAAAAACACAGGUCUGUGCGAAGCCGCAAGGCGAAGUAUACGGGCUGACGCCUGCCCGGUGCUGGAA